rnacentral:tRNA from 1 species
AUCCACUGCCAUAAAGUUAUGCUCAAUCGAUCAAAUUGACUAUUAAGGUUAUGGCUUUAAAGUGGGUU